rnacentral:rRNA from 1 species
AGAGUUUGAUCCUGGCUCAGGAUGAACGCUGGCGGCGUGCAUAACACAUGCAAGUCGAACGGGAUUACAGGAAGGUUUACCGGAAUGUAAUCUAGUGGCGCACGGGUGAGUAACGCGUAGAUAACCUGUCUUCACGUCUGGAAUAAUACGCCGAAAGGGGUACUAAUACCGGAUAUUCUUGCUUUUCAUAAGUUUUGCAAGGAAAGGUGGCCUCUGAAUAUGCUACUGCGCGAAGAGGGGUCUGCGUACCAUUAGCUAGUAGGUGGGGUAAUGGCCUACCUAGGCUACGAUGGUUAGCGGGUCUGAGAGGAUGAUCCGCCACACUGGCACUGGAACACGGGCCAGACUCCUACGGGAGGCAGCAGUGAGGAAUAUUGCGCAAUGGGGGAAACCCUGACGCAGCGACGCCGCGUGAGUGAGGAAGGCCUUCGGGUCGUAAAGCUCUGUCAAAGGGAAAGAAGUGCAUGAUGGCUAAUACCUGUCAUGUUUGACGGUACCCUUAAAGGAAGCACCGGCUAACUCCGUGCCAGCAGCCGCGGUAAUACGGAGGGUGCAAGCGUUGUUCGGAAUCACUGGGCGUAAAGGGCGCGUAGGCGGUUUGAUAAGUCAGAUGUGAAAGCCCACGGCUUAACUGUGGAAGUGCAUUUGAAACUGUCAGACUUGAGUAUCAGAGGGGAAAGUGGAAUUCCCGGUGUAGAGGUGAAAUUCGUAGAUAUCGGGAGGAAUACCGGUGGCGAAGGCGACUUUCUGGCUGAAUACUGACGCUGAGGCGCGAAAGCGUGGGGAGCAAACAGGAUUAGAUACCCUGGUAGUCG